AAGACCUUGCGCUUUUGGAGCGGCCGAUGUCUGAUUAGCUAGUUGGUGGGGUAAUGGCCUACCAAAGCUUCGAUCAGUAGCUGGUCUGAGAGGACGACCAGCCACACUGGGACUGAGACACGGCCCAGACUCCUACGGGAGGCAGCAGUGGGGAAUUUUGGACAAUGGGCGCAAGCCUGAUCCAGCCAUGCCGCGUGAGUGAAGAAGGCCUUCGGGUUGUAAAGCUCUUUCAGCCGGGAAGAAAAGGCUACGACGAAUAAUCGUAGCUCAUGACGGUACCGGAAGAAGAAGCACCGGCUAACUACGUGCCAGCAGCCGCGGUAACACGUAGGGUGCGAGCGUUAAUCGGAAUUACUGGGCGUAAAGGGUGCGCAGGCGGUUUUGUAAGUCAGAUGUGAAAUCCCCGGGCUUAACCUGGGAACU
rnacentral:rRNA from 1 species